rnacentral:rRNA from 1 species
CCUACGGGAGGCUGCAGUGGGGAAUAUUGGACAAUGGGGGCAACCCUGAUCCAGCCAUGCCGCGUGUGUGAAGAAGGCCCUCGGGUUGUAAAGCACUUUCAGUGAGGAAGAACGCCUGGUGGUUAAUACCCAUCAGGAAAGACAUCACUCACAGAAGAAGCACCGGCUAACUCCGUGCCAGCAGCCGCGGUAAUACGGAGGGUGCGAGCGUUAAUCGGAAUUACUGGGCGUAAAGCGCGCGUAGGUGGCUUGAUAAGCCGGUUGUGAAAGCCCCGGGCUCAACCUGGGAACGGCAUCCGGAACUGUCAAGCUAGAGUGCAGGAGAGGAAGGUAGAAUUCCCGGUGUAGCGGUGAAAUGCGUAGUGAUCGGGAGGAAUACCAGUGGCGAAGGCGGCCUUCUGGACUGACACUGACACUGAGGUGCGAAAGCGUGGGUAGCAAACAGGAUUAGAUACCCGGGUAGUC